rnacentral:lncRNA from 1 species
UGGAUAUCUCGCUCCUCCGCCGCCCCCUCCGCGCACUCCGGGAGGCCGCCGGGGCGGUAGCAGCGGCGCGGCUCCGCGGGUGCCCAGGAGACGCCUCGGCAGUCCUCAACUUGUGUGCGCCGGUGGCCCUCUCCUGUGGGACUUGCGUUCCAGCUGUUCUCAGAGCGGGUAUGAUCGGCCUCCAGUAGACUUGGAGGGUCACGGGUGAGAUUUUGAUAAGGUUCAAAUACUCCUCACUCCUGCCUCCGGUUUCCACCAAAGUUACCAUUGUACUACUACCAACAGUUGUGGAAAUUUACUUUGGCAAAGGUUUUGUGUUUUUGUUUGUUUGUUUUUCCCCCCAAAAAUUAUGCCAAUUAAAUCCGACCUUAAAUGACAAGGCUUUUCUCUCAUGUUUAAAAUCCCAUUUUUUUCCCCUUGCCAUAAAUA